AUGCCUUAUCAAUUCUUUGGCAAUUUUCAACAAUGUUUCCUGAUGUUUGGAUUGGUACCCAUAUCUCUUAAUUAGUACAUACCAGACGCGGCCGGGCGCAGCUGGCACAGUGGCAGCGCAGGAGAGUCGAGGCGGCGGCAAGUGGCGACAGGGAGUUUGGUGGUGGCGAUGGAGAGGAGGCCGUGGUGCAGAGGAGGGGCGGCAGCGAAGGGCUCGGGACCGAGGUGGCUCGGUCGAGGCAACGAUGGUAGGAGGUGGUCGCGGAGGCGGUGCCCAUGCUGCCCGUCGGGAUGGGAGGAAGGUUGGUGAUGGGGAUGGGGAGCUCGGCGACGGCAGUGGCAUGGGGGUCGACAGCGAUGGGGAUGGAGAGGUGGCUGGUGGCAGGGAGAGGGGAAGAAUGACGAGGAUGUUGCUCCCGGCGACGGUUUUGCUUGGGCGAUGGCUUCCAGGAGAAGGAGAGGCCGGAGUAGCAUAGUGGCGACGACAGUGGCGGUGACACCAACACGAGAGGAGGGUCGUACAAGGUGAGUCUUCUCGCCGGUCUUCUAUUUUCGGUGUGGACUCGGUUUGCCGUGAGUGUGGUCUCUCUCUCUCACUACUUCGCCGGCUUUUGUGUGAGGGCUUUGGUUGACGGGGAGUAGUGGUGCACGAGCGGCGACUGUUGAUGGCGGUGUUGGAUGUGAUGGACGGCGGCGGUGGGGCUGGACGUCGACAGCGACGGAAGGCUUGCCGGAUAGAGAUGCCCCUCGGUAAUGAAGGGGAGAAAGGAGAUGCGGCGGCGACAGACUGUCGAUGACGGAGGCCGCAGCGGGACGGGGUGGUGGGAGGCCGGGAUUCGGGAUGUGGUGGAGACUGGCCAGGUGGUCGACGUUGAUCCGGCGGCAUAGGACUCGGUGGCGGCUCGUCCUCCACCGACACCCAGUCACCGUUGGGAUCAGUGGAGGGCGAGCCGGCGGCGGGGAUCGGUGGCAGAUCGGAUCACCACGGAAGGCGUCGGCGGCGACCUGGCCACGAGAGGACUUUGUGCGGCAGGGAUCGGUGGAGCAGAACAGCGUGGAAGGCGUCGGCGGCGACGUGAAUCCGGGCGGAGGACAAGCGAUGGGGAUCGGUGGAGGGCGAGCCGGCGGCGAUGGCAGAUCGGUGAGGCAGAGGACGGCGCCGCGGCUGAUAGGGAGGGGAGCGCUGAUGGCGGAGCGGUUUCCGGCGUCGCGCGUGCGGGAGCGGAAUCUGGGAGAGGCGCGGUGGGAGAGCGAGAGAGAGGGAGACGGGCCGUGCGGUGCCGAGGGAGGGGGCAUACGGCGAUUGAGGGAGGUGGGAGGUGGGAUCGAUCCGCAUCGUUGGGAUUUCACCGAGAUGAUCUGAACCGUUCCAUGAGGAAUGAAAGAAUGAGUGAUGGGUGAAAGUAUUUGUUGAACUAGGUAGAUAGAUAGAUUUAGAUGGGGGAAACAUCAUGUGUAUUUCUAUAUUUAUAUACUAAUAUAAAAAGGAGGAGUUGCCUCCUUGCAAUCCUGUAGGUGAAAUCAAAGAAAACCAGGGCCCACGCAUAGACACAUCGAAUCCCCAUCCCCAUCGCCACGGAUUCCUCUGCCGUCCUCACCCCACUCCCUCUAUCACCGCAUGUCGCUUCCCCCUCAAUCACUCUGACGAUAGCUUCCUCCUCCCCUUGAUCUCGCCCUCGAUGACGCGCCACCUACACACGAUUUCGCCUUCAACAAAUUCACUCGGCCUCUUCCUCCGCUCGAUCUCGCUUGCUGUCUCCUUCACCGCUACAAAGCCUUGUCGCCCGCCUCCAUCGUUCUCUUGUGUCGCCGUCACCAGCAAGACCUUGCACCGCCGCCGUUGUGACCCUCGAUCCACGCCGAGCUUCCGCCUCCAAGGCCACAGCGAUCUCUUCUUCAGUUCUCAACUUACUACCGGGUGAAAGAAGCGAUGUUGCUCUUUCUUUUCUGUAGAUUUGCCUCCUCUGUGUACUAGCCUCAUUCUCCUCAGGUUGCGUAGAGGAGUAAGGGAGAAAUUUCAGAACUAUGUACAAACAUACUCCAAUGAUUUUGCUACCAUAUACCUGUUCAACUAUUUACUAGCCAUCAUCCUUGUCAUAUGCACUAUAUGAGAAAUAAGAGUAUCCAACUCAUCUUCUGGUCAGUGUUCACACACACUUUUUGGUUUUAUUUUUUUACUUCUAUCUAUUCGUUUUUAAUAAUAUGUGUAUUAAAUACAUUUUUACUCAAAUAAAAUAAUUUUAGAACUUCAUUUCAUUAACAGAUCUAAUAUUUGUGUAUGAUGUUUGCAAGGACGAGAAACAAUAUUGAAGGAACUGCAAAUUACUCUCAGAUGAUCUUUACAAGAAUGGAUGAAAAUGAUCACUUAGUGUUGGGUUCCAACAGUAUGAUCCACUUAUACUCUGUAAUCAUGAUGCAUGUUUUCUGACAUGUAUGUCAAGUUUAUGCACUCCAAAUCCUGUCAGUGAACAUCUAGAGAAGCUAUUCAGUUUCAUUGACAAUAAAAAAGAGGUGGACCCGUCGUCAGACAAAUUACAGGGUCCAUUACUCUCCCCCAAUCUCCCCCCGCAACAUUUUCUGGUGGUGAUAUUCUGAGUUCAUGUUUAACCAACAAAUCAAGGCGCUUGCUUGGUCUAGAGUUCCACACCAAUGGUUAUAGUGGUUUUAGCGAUGACCAUGAAUAUUUAACUAUUGCCUAACCGGUAUACAGUCAGGGAGCCAUGUCUUAGAUCCAUAUGGUUAGCUCUUAUUCUACUGCUCACUUUGCUUCUUGCCAAAGUAGUUUAACGGUGUUUUGGUUUUAGCCCUC